GAUGAGAGGAGCUUGCUCCUGGAUUCAGCGGCGGACGGGCGAGUAAUGCCUAGGAAUCUGCCUGGUAGUGGGGGACAACGUUUCGAAAGGAACGCUAAUACCGCAUACGUCCUACGGGAGAAAGCAGGGGACCUUCGGGCCUUGCGCUAUCAGAUGAGCCUAGGUCGGAUUAGCUAGUUGGUGAGGUAAUGGCUCACCAAGGCGACGAUCCGUAACUGGUCUGAGAGGAUGAUCAGUCACACUGGAACUGAGACACGGUCCAGACUCCUACGGGAGGCAGCAGUGGGGAAUAUUGGACAAUGGGCGAAAGCCUGAUCCAGCCAUGCCGCGUGUGUGAAGAAGGUCUUCGGAUUGUAAAGCACUUUAAGUUGGGAGGAAGGGCAGUAAAUUAAUACUUUGCUGUUUUGACGUUACCGACAGAAUAAGCACCGGCUAACUCUGUGCCAGCAGCCGCGGUAAUACAGAGGGUGCAAGCGUUAAUCGGAAUUACUGGGCGUAAAGCGCGCGUAGGUGGUUCGUUAAGUUGGAUGUGAAAUCCCCGGGCUCAACCUGGGAACUGCAUUCAAAACUGUCGAGCUAGAGUAUGGUAGAGGGUGGUGGAAUUUCCUGUGUAGCGGUGAAAUGCGUAAAUAUAGGA
rnacentral:rRNA from 1 species